GGCGCACGGGUGCGUAACGCGUAUGCAAUCUACCUUUCACAGAGGGAUAGCCCAGAGAAAUUUGGAUUAAUACCUCAUAGUAUUACGAAAUGGCAUCAUUUUGUAAUUAAAGUCACAACGGUGAAAGAUGAGCAUGCGUCCCAUUAGCUAGUUGGCAAGGUAACGGCUUACCAAGGCUACGAUGGGUAGGGGUCCUGAGAGGGAGAUCCCCCACACUGGUACUGAGACACGGACCAGACUCCUACGGGAGGCAGCAGUGAGGAAUAUUGGACAAUGGGCGCAAGCCUGAUCCAGCCAUGCCGCGUGCAGGAUGACGGUCCUAUGGAUUGUAAACUGCUUUUGCACAGGAAGAAACAACGCUACGUGUAGCGUCUUGACGGUACUGUGAGAAUAAGGAUCGGCUAACUCCGUGCCAGCAGCCGCGGUAAUACGGAGGAUCCAAGCGUUAUCCGGAAUCAUUGGGUUUAAAGGGUCCGUAGGCGGUUUAGUAAGUUAGUGGUGAAAGCCCAUCGCUCAACGGUGGAACGGCCAUUGAUACUGCUAGACUUGAAUUAUUAGGAAGUAACUAGAAUAUGUAGUGUAGCGGUGAAAUGCUUAGAGAUUACAUGGAAUACCAAUUGCGAAGGCAGGUUACUACUAAUGGAUUGACGCUGAUGGACGAAAGCGUGGGUAGCGAACAGGAUUAGAUACCCUGGUAGUCCACGCCGUAAACGAUGGAUACUAGCUGUUGGGAGCAAUCUCAGUG
rnacentral:rRNA from 1 species